GGGUUGUGAGGUUAAGCGACUAAGCGUACACGGUGGAUGCCCGGCAGUCAGAGGCGAUGAAGGACGUGCUAAUCUGCGAUAAGCGUCGGUAAGGUGAUAUGAACCGUUAUAACCGGCGAUUUCCGAAUGGGGAAACCCAGUGUGUUUCGACACACUAUCAUUAACUGAAUCCAUAGGUUAAUGAGGCGAACCGGGAACUGAAACAUCUAAGUACCCCGAGGAAAAGAAAUCAACCGAGAUUCCCCAGUAGCGGCGAGCGAACGGGGAGCAGCCCAGAGCCUGAAUCAGUGUGUGUGUUAGUGGAAGCGUCUGGAAAGGCGCGCGAUACAGGGUGACAGCCCCGUACACAAAAAUGCACAUAUUGUGAGCUCGAUGAGUAGGGCGGGACACGUGGUAUCCUGUCUGAAUAUGGGGACCAUCCUCCAAGGCUAAAUACUCCUGACUGACCGAUAGUGAACCAGUACCGUGAGGGAAAGGCGAAAAGAACCCCGGCGAGGGGAGUGAAAAGAACCUGAAACCGUGUACGUACAAGCAGUGGGAGCACGCUUAGGCGUGUGACUGCGUACCUUUGUAUAAUGGGUCAGCGACUUAUAUUCUGUAGCAAGGUUAACCGAAUAGGGGAGCCGAAGGGAAACCGAGUCUUAACUGGGCGUUAAGUUGCAGGGUAUAGACCCGAAACCCGGUGAUCUAGCCAUGGGCAGGUUGAAGGUUGGGUAACACUAACUGGAGGACCGAACCGACUAAUGUUGAAAAAUUAGCGGAUGACUUGUGGCUGGGGUGAAAGGCCAAUCAAACCGGGAGAUAGCUGGUUCUCCCCGAAAGCUAUUUAGGUAGCGCCUCGUGAAUUCAUCUCCGGGGUAGAGCACUGUUUCGGCAAGGGGUCAUCCCGACUUACCAACCCGAUGCAAACUGCGAAUACCGGAGAAUGUUAUCACGGGAGACACACGGCGGGUGCUAACGUCCGUCGUGAAGAGGGAAACAACCCAGACCGCCAGCUAAGGUCCCAAAGUCAUGGUUAAGUGGGAAACGAUGUGGGAAGGCCCAGACAGCCGGAUGUUGGCUUAGAAGCAGCCAUCAUUUAAAGAAAGCGUAAUAGCUCACUGGUCGAGUCGGCCUGCGCGGAAGAUGUAACGGGGCUAAACCAUGCACCGAAGCUGCGGCAGCGACGCUGAUGCGUUGUUGGGUAGGGGAGCGUUCUGUAAGCCUGUGAAGGUGCGCUGUGAGGCAUGCUGGAGGUAUCAGAAGUGCGAAUGCUGACAUAAGUAACGAUAAAGCGGGUGAAAAGCCCGCUCGCCGGAAGACCAAGGGUUCCUGUCCAACGUUAAUCGGGGCAGGGUGAGUCGACCCUAAGGCGAGGCCGAAAGGCGUAGUCGAUGGGAAACAGGUUAAUAUUCCUGUACUUGGUGUUACUGCGAAGGGGGACGGAGAAGGCUAUGUUGGCCGGGCGACGGUUGUCCCGGUUUAAGCGUGUAGGCUGGUUUUCCGGCAAAUCCGGAAAAUCAAGGCUGAGGCGUGAUGACGAGGUACUACGGUGCUGAAGCAACAAAUGCCCUGCUUCCAGGAAAAGCCUCUAAGCAUCAGGUAACAUCAAAUCGUACCCCAAACCGACACAGGUGGUCAGGUAGAGAAUACCAAGGCGCUUGAGAGAACUCGGGUGAAGGAACUAGGCAAAAUGGUGCCGUAACUUCGGGAGAAGGCACGCUGAUAUGUAGGUGAAGUCCCUCGCGGAUGGAGCUGAAAUCAGUCGAAGAUACCAGCUGGCUGCAACUGUUUAUUAAAACACAGCACUGUGCAAACACGAAAGUGGACGUAUACGGUGUGACGCCUGCCCGGUGCCGGAAGGUUAAUUGAUGGGGUCAGCGCAAGCGAAGCUCUUGAUCGAAGCCCCGGUAAACGGCGGCCGUAACUAUAACGGUCCUAAGGUAGCGAAAUUCCUUGUCGGGUAAGUUCCGACCUGCACGAAUGGCGUAAUGAUGGCCAGGCUGUCUCCACCCGAGACUCAGUGAAAUUGAACUCGCUGUGAAGAUGCAGUGUACCCGCGGCAAGACGGAAAGACCCCGUGAACCUUUACUAUAGCUUGACACUGAACAUUGAGCCUUGAUGUGUAGGAUAGGUGGGAGGCUUUGAAGUGUGGACGCCAGUCUGCAUGGAGCCGACCUUGAAAUACCACCCUUUAAUGUUUGAUGUUCUAACGUUGACCCGUAAUCCGGGUUGCGGACAGUGUCUGGUGGGUAGUUUGACUGGGGCGGUCUCCUCCUAAAGAGUAACGGAGGAGCACGAAGGUUGGCUAAUCCUGGUCGGACAUCAGGAGGUUAGUGCAAUGGCAUAAGCCAGCUUGACUGCGAGCGUGACGGCGCGAGCAGGUGCGAAAGCAGGUCAUAGUGAUCCGGUGGUUCUGAAUGGAAGGGCCAUCGCUCAACGGAUAAAAGGUACUCCGGGGAUAACAGGCUGAUACCGCCCAAGAGUUCAUAUCGACGGCGGUGUUUGGCACCUCGAUGUCGGCUCAUCACAUCCGGGGCUGAAGUAGGUCCCAAGGGUAUGGCUGUUCGCCAUUUAAAGUGGUACGCGAGCUGGGUUUAGAACGUCGUGAGACAGUUCGGUCCCUAUCUGCCGUGGGCGCUGGAGAACUGAGGGGGGCUGCUCCUAGUACGAGAGGACCGGAGUGGACGCAUCACUGGUGUUCGGGUUGUCAUGCCAAUGGCACUGCCCGGUAGCUAAAUGCGGAAGAGAUAAGUGCUGAAAGCAUCUAAGCACGAAACUUGCCCCGAGAUGAGUUCUCCCUGACUCCUUGAGAGUCCUGAAGGAACGUUGAAGACGACGACGUUGAUAGGCCGGGUGUGUAAGCGCAGCGAUGCGUUGAGCUAACCGGUACUAAUGAACCGUGAGGCUUAACCUUACAACGCCGAAGGUGUUU
rnacentral:rRNA from 1 species